rnacentral:rRNA from 1 species
GACGAACGCUGGCGGCGUGCCUAACACAUGCAAGUCGAGCGGGGUUGAAGCGAGGGGUAACUCGAACUUCUACCUAGCGGCGGACGGGUGAGUAACGCGUGGGCAACCUGCCUCAAGGUCUGGGAUAACAGCUCGAAAGGGCUGCUAAUACCGGAUAUGCCUAUAGCCUCGCAUGGGGCUAUGAGCAAAGGGGAAACCCGCCUUGAGAUGGGCCCGCGUCCCAUCAGCUAGUUGGUGAGGUGAAGGCUCACCAAGGCGACGACGGGUAGCCGGCCUGAGAGGGUGACCGGCCACACUGGGACUGAGACACGGCCCAGACUCCUACGGGGGGCAGCAGUGGGGAAUCUUGCACAAUGGGCGAAAGCCUGAUGCAGCGACGCCGCGUGAGCGAAGAAGGCCUUCGGUUGUAAAGCUCUGUCUGGAGGGACGAAGAAAGUAGACGGUACCUCCGGAGGAAGCCACGGCUAACUAACGUGCCACGCAGCGCGGUAACUAGUCUACG